rnacentral:lncRNA from 1 species
AAAUAACAAUAUUCAGGUGCUGGUAAGUGCUUAACAACCAGCUCUUGGGGGUGAAUGCCACAUUCUUACCUUUAAUUGGCAUUAUUAACAUUUUCUCCGUCACUUUCUUAAGUCUGGACAGUAAGUCAAGCCCUGAUUAGUAUCAUUUGCCAACUUCUGAGGUGUAAGUGUUCACACUGAAAAUAUAAAAAUCAUCUCUUGAGAGCUAUGAAGACCUGGAACCUGCCUGCCCCUGAUGAACCUGGACCAGAAUUAUGAAGGCUAAAGAGACAGAAAUUGGUCGCAACAUGUACUCUUGGUUGCCACACCAAUCCGAGAAAAGAUGACAUGAUUAUAUAGUCCCAACUUCAUCCUGACCUGACCCACCAAGGAGAUUAGAUAGAUGGAAUUUGCCAUGCUUGUUCUCACUCUAAACCCUGUAGAUGUUCCCAGGUUACUAAAUUAAACAAAGCUUUGAGUUGUUUGGACUGCUCCUUUGACUAAUAUUCUUCAGAGUUUCUGUUGACUUUUUCAUCUGUAUUUUACUAAGAUUCUGUCUCCAGCCUCCAAUACUAUAACUAUACCUUGCCUAAAUCAUACAGACUCAGUCUUUACCUCUGCCCUUCUAGAUGAUAUUUUAAUGAUUUGCUGUUGAUCAUCAACAACAUACUAUGGAUGACCUUUGCCUCCACCCCCUUCAGUCCCUGUGUGAGGGUCUGGAUGAAGGAAGAUUGGGGACGAUUAUGAGCAUCAUGGCUUCAAGAAACAGGAAAAAGCAGCAGUGGGGAAAAGAAGCCUAUAAAAAGUUUGGCUUGAGGUCUUUAAGCAAGAACAUGACAAGAGAAUUGAUAGAUGAAAUGGGAAGAAGGGGGCAAAAGUAUGUGAAAUAGAACAGAUUUUUCCAUUCAUUUUAUAAUCUUAGUCAUGGAGAGUGGAAUCCCCAGGUUUGGAUGUGACCACCUCAAUGCAUCAUGCUCUAUAUAGAAAAGGUACUGUAAAAGGUACUUUAAACAAUAAAAUUGGGAUUGAUGUAUUGAGUAUUCA